rnacentral:rRNA from 1 species
CCUACGGGAGGCAGCAGUGGGGAAUCUUCCGCAAUGGACGAAAGUCUGACGGAGCAACGCCGCGUGUAUGAUGAAGGCCUUCGGGUUGUAAAAUACUGUUGUUGGGGAAGAAUAGCGACUGUGUAAAUAGAUGCAGUCGUGUGACGUACCAACGAGAGGANNNGGUU